rnacentral:lncRNA from 1 species
UUUCAUUGCAAAGACACAAUUACAAAGGCUCGUAUGGACUGCAUCUGUAGAGAUGGCUGCUCUGACACAUGUCCAUGUCCUUUGUCUGAACUGUCAUAGAGAGUGGUGGCCCUGAAUACACUCCUUGUACGCAUGUCCAAAUGCUGCUGUGUCUUCAGAACCAGGACACCUGCAGUAUUACCAACAGGUGCCAGUGACUUCUGGAAAACACAUGACUGUAGCUUCAUGGCCCUCACACUCUGCCUACAACCCUUCUUCUUCAGCCAAUCUCUUCAUGUCUCAUUUUGUGUGUAGUUCAACAACUUUAAUAAGACUUGCUUGUUUAAAGAUGCACACACUGAACCCUGGGCAGGAGAGGAUGCCCCGAGAUGUAAUCUAAGUGGCUUCCAAAGGCAAGGCAUACAUACUCUCUUGGCUCCCUCAUUCCUCCCUGUUAGCCUGCUCUAAAGACCUUCCUUUCUGAAGAAAACUCCCCAUAUAACGCAUCAAGCACUUCAGAUGAUGAAGAUGUCUCCAAGUGCCUCAUGAGAAAGAGUCUUGCUGGAGAAGGUUCAGAGGUUCAGUCCAUUAUCAUCGGAGCAGGAAACAUGGCAUCAUCCAGGCAGACAUGGUGCACAAGGAGCUACUGGCCUAGAACAGACAGAGACAUGAGGACCCUCCAUGAGACACAGCACAUGUAGGCCUUAGACACCUGCUUGCUGCCAAGUCACACAGCCAAGACAGAGGAUGUCACUCAGGGUCCUGCCAGUUGUGUAACCAGUCUGCAGCAGAAAGUUCCAGAAUGUGUAAGCAUGUGGUGGACAGGACUGGUUAUUCAGGGGGAUGAUCUAUCUAUGGAGAUAAGAGGACAGUUGAUGGAUUUCUGGCCACUGGCUGCAGGCAAGGUUGGCUUGAAGUGAGGCUGCCUGGGUGUGUGCCCCUGCAGGAAAAGCAGGAGGAAGGAGCCAGGCAAAGAGGACAGCCCUGUGUGGGAAG